CUGGAGGCCUAGGCUCUCCUUCCUGUUAGGGGCUGUGGCUUGGGGUACCCGCUUCUCUCUGGUUGGCGUGAGGUGUGCGUCCGUCCUGGUCUCCCAGGUGUCCACAUCUGUGUGUCUAGGUGUGUGUGUGGUCACACUUGCUGACAGUGCACACCGCCAACAACAUGGACGCCCAGAUGCCAAAGAGGCCCAGCAGUGUCCGCCCUAACCUUCGGGCUAAGGCUGCAUCUAUCCUUCCUCAGGGCUUGCCUCUAAAAAGUAAAGAAUCUGGGCGGUUUUGAAAGGCCUCCUGAUGAGUGACCACUGUGCCGGUGUGCAGUGAUACCUACUUGUCAUCCGACUUGUGUGCACCCACAAUGUUUCCGGGCCACCAGAGGCCUCCUUUUACGCCACAGUCAGCGGCUGGCUGGCGGGGUUUCUGUAAGCAAGGAUACCUCGAGGGUUAGCGGUGGGGGAUGGAACACCACCUGCCAUCCAGUGCCGCACCCUCACCCAGAAGUCAGCCCAUGGGCUUGGUGACCCCAGCCCAGGCAAUGGAAGCAGCAGCCUGGCCGCCCAAACCGGCCCACAGCCCACCACCGACGACGGCCGUCCCUUCAACCGGCCGACCCCCGGCUGUGGAAUUUCAUUUAUUAAAUGCCGAGGCGGCUGCUGGCA